GAUGAACGCUGGCGGCGUGCCUAAUACAUGCAAGUCGAGCGAACGGACGAGAAGCUUUCUUCUCUGAUUUUAGCGGCGGACGGGGGAGUAAAACUUGGAUAACCUCCCUUUAAGACUGGGAUAACUUCGGGAAACCGUAGCUAAUACCGGAUAAUAUUUUUAACCCCAUGGUUCAAAAGUGAAAGACGUUCUUUCUUUCCCUUUUUAAUUGUUCCGCGCUGCAUUAGCUUGUUGGUAAGGUAACGGCUUACCAAGGCAACGAUGCAUAGCCGACCUGAGAGGGUGAUCGGCCACACUGGAACUGAGACACGGUCCAGACUCCUACGGGAGGCAGCAGUAGGGAAUCUUCCGCAAUGGGCGAAAGCCUGACGGAGCAACGCCGCGUGAGUGAUGAAGGUCUUCGGAUCGUAAAACUCUGUUAUUAGGGAAGAACAUAUGUGUAAGUAACUGUGCACAUCUUGACGGUACCUAAUCAGAAAGCCACGGCUAACUACGUG
rnacentral:rRNA from 1 species